rnacentral:tRNA from 1 species
GGGGAUUUAGCUCAGUGGUAGAGUGCUUGCCUAGGAAGUGUAAGGUCCUGGGUUCGGUCCCCAGCCCCG